rnacentral:rRNA from 1 species
GAUGAACGCUAGCGGGAGGCCUAAUACAUGCAAGUCGAACGGUAACAGGUAGCAAUACGCUGACGAGUGGCGCACGGGUGAGUAACACGUAUGCAACCUACCUUACAUUGGGGGAUAGCCUUUCGAAAGGGAGAUUAAUACCGCAUAAGACAGUAGCUGGGCAUCCAGUAGCUGUUAAAGAUUUAUCGAUGUACGCUGGGCAUGCGUCCAAUUAGUUAGUUGGUGAGGUAACGGCUAACCAAGACGAUGAUUGGUAGGGGAACUGAGAGGUCAAUCCCCCACACUGGCACUGAGAUACGGGCCAGACUCCUACGGGAGGCAGCAGUAGGGAAUAUUGGGCAAUGGACGCAAGUCUGACCCAGCCAUGCCGCGUGCAGGAAGAAGGCGUUCUGCGUUGUAAACUGCUUUUAUAUAGGAAGAAACGACCCUUGCGAGGGGCAUUGACGGUAUUAUAUGAAUAAGCACCGGCUAACUACGUGCCAGCCGCCGCUGUAACAC